rnacentral:rRNA from 1 species
UACGUAGGGGGCAAGCGUUGUCCGGAAUCAUUGGGCGUAAAGCGCGUGUAGGCGGCCCGGUAAGUCCGCUGUGAAAGUCGGGGGCUCAACCCUCGAAUGCCGGUGGAUACUGUCGGGCUAGAGUGCGGGAGAGGCGAGUGGAAUCCUGGUGUAGCGGUGAAUGACGCAGAUAUCAGGAGGAACACCAAUUGCGAAGGCAGCUCGCUGGAACGUAACUGACGCUGAGACGACGAAAGCGUGGGGGAGCAAACAGG